rnacentral:rRNA from 1 species
AUGAACGCUGGCGGCGUGCCUAAUACAUGCAAGUCGAGCGAACAGACGAGGAGCUUACUCCUCUGACGUUAGCGGCGGACGGGUGAGUAACACGUGGAUAACCUACCUAUAAGACUGGGAUAACUCCGGGAAACCGGAGCUAAUACCGGAUAACAUGUUGAACCGCAUGGUUCAACAGUGAAAGACGGUCUUGCUGUCACUUAUAGAUGGAUCCGCGUCGCAUUAGCUAGUUGGUAAGGUAACGGCUUACCAAGGCAACGAUGCGUAGCCGACCUGAGAGGGUGAUCGGCCACACUGGAACUGAGACACGGUCCAGACUCCUACGGGAGGCAGCAGUAGGGAAUCUUCCGCAAUGGGCGAAAGCCUGACGGAGCAACGCCGCGUGAGUGAAGAAGGUCUUCGGAUCGUAAAACUCUGUUAUUAGGGAAGAACAAAUGUGUAAGUAACUAUGCACGUCUUGACGGUACCUAAUCAGAAAGCCACGGCUAACUACGUG